CUACUUCUCUCUCCUCCUCCGUUAUCCUCUUUCUCUCUCAUCAUUUUUCGUUCAUCCUACAAUUCAUCAACAAGGGUUAUCUUUGCAGCCAAAAGUCGACAUACACGCACGUUUUUCCGAUGGCUACACCACCACCGGAGAUUUCGCCGUUGAUUUUGGCAGAUGACGCAACAGUGGAUGCGCCGCCAGCGCCUCCUUCGGGAACAACAGCCGCCAUACCGCCUGGACCUCCAGCGGUUGUUUCACCGGUGGGCGUGAGUUCUGUUUCGUCGCUGCCGACUUCGGGGAUGUCGAAGGAUACAUCGACUGCUUAAUUCGGUGGUUGGAAUUGGGCUUGGAGGGUUAAUUGUUAUGAUUGCUGUGGGCAUUUUUGUCUUUUUCUAUAAGCGGAGGAAGCGGAAGCAGGCGGAGGAAGAUCAGUUAUUAAUGGCUGCUCUGACUAAAUAAUUAGAAUUAUCUGAUUAGGUAUUUGUUUGUAUUAAUUAUUCAUUAAUUGGUUGCUUGAACUUGUACGUUGAAGGAAUUUGAAUGUGGGCAAAGGGAGUAGUGUGAUCCAGUUUGUUCAUUUUUAGAUCGAUCAUUAACUUUCUCUGGACUGAUUAGUCAUUUUCAUGGUGAAAAUUCAAUCUCCAGUAUUGUUUUUCUUUUUUUGGAGUAGCAAAAAUAGUAAUACGAUUUCAUUUUGUUCA